AGGACGAACGCUGGCGGCGUGCUUAACACACGCAAGUCGAGCGGAAAGGCCCUUCGGGGUACUCGAGCGGCGAACGGGUGAGUAACACGUGAGCAAUCUGCCCUUAGCUUCGGGAUAGCCCCGGGAAACCGGGAUUAAUACCGAAUACGACCUCGGCCGACAUCGGCUUUGGUGGAAAGUUUUUCGGCUGGGGAUGGACUCGCGGCCUAUCAGCUUGUUGGUGGGGUAAUGGCCUACCAAGGCGACGACGGGUAGCCGGCCUGAGAGGGCGACCGGCCACGACUGGGACUGAGACACGGCCCAGACUCCUACGGGAGGCAGCAGUGGGGAAUCUUGCGCAAUGGGCGAAAGCCUGACGCAGCGACGCCGCGUGGGGGAUGAAGGCCUUCGGGUUGUAAACCCCUUUCAGCAGGGACGAAGCGAAAGUGACGGUACCUGCAGAAGAAGCGCCGGCUAACUACGUGCCAGCAGCCGC
rnacentral:rRNA from 1 species